rnacentral:rRNA from 1 species
UACGUAGGGUGCGAGCGUUGUCCGGAAUUAUUGGGCGUAAAGGGCUCGUAGGCGGUCUGUCGCGUCGGGAGUGAAAACUUACAGCUUAACUGUGAGCGUGCUUCCGAUACGGGCAGACUUGAGGUAUUCAGGGGAGAACGGAAUUCCUGGUGUAGCGGUGAAAUGCGCAGAUAUCAGGAGGAACACCGGUGGCGAAGGCGGGUCUCUGGGCCGAUACUGACGCUGAGGAGCGAAAGCGUGGGGAGCGAACAGG